ACUAAAUAACGAUAACCAUUUAGGUUAUUUAAUUAUCACACCUAAUAUAUAUAUUAGGUUACAUAAUUUAAUUCUUACUUCACUUUUAUAUACAAAAUAAAUGUAUUCACAUUAUAUAAUGUAUAUUUAUUUAAUCAUACACAUAAUUCAUAUUCAUUACACACAUAACUUUUAAUCCCUUAGGGUUUUAUACAAAACAUUAGGAUUUCUAAUUUAACAAUUAGGGUUAUCCCUAAUAUAUAAUCACAAAUACUUAAGCCAUUAUAUUUAGCCUUUGAUUUCCCAAAUUAGGGUUUCAAAUACUGAAUUAGGAUUUCGGAUUCCCGGUACUGAAAUUAGGGUUUCCAGAACCGAUUUCUAGGGUUUCUUAUAAAUCGUAAUAAUUUUAUAACUGAACGUUGACGUUCUAAUAAUAUUAGGGUUUGACACAGAUAUAAUUUAUCUGGUCAACACUUGACCCUUAACCACAUUCUGUAUACAUGAUACCGUAAUCCUGAACAUAUACUCAUAUACCUUUAAUCCUUAAUAAUUCACUAAAAGAAAUUUUAAAUCCUCA
rnacentral:lncRNA from 1 species